UAUAAGGGUGGAAGCAGAGUAAAACAGUGUUUACAUUACAUGGUAGAUGGGAAACUUUUAAUCAGAUGGGGCCAAAAGGAAGGAAUUACUUCCCAAAGACACUCCUUUGAGUGUGUGUGUGUGUGUGUGUGUGUGUGUGUGUGAUGUAGUGCACGUGGUGCUGUGGUCUAA